AUUGAACGCUGGCGGCAUGCCUUACACAUGCAAGUCGAACGGCAGCGGGGGAGAAGCUUGCUUUUCCUGCCGGCGAGUGGCGAACGGGUGAGUAAUACAUCGGAACGUGCCCUGUAGUGGGGGAUAACUAGUCGAAAGAUUAGCUAAUACCGCAUACGACCUGAGGGUGAAAGUGGGGGACCGCAAGGCCUCAUGCUAUAGGAGCGGCCGAUGUCUGAUUAGCUAGUUGGUGGGGUAAAGGCCUACCAAGGCGACGAUCAGUAGCUGGUCUGAGAGGACGAUCAGCCACACGGGGACUGAGAAACGGCCCAGACUCCUACGGGAGGCAGCAGUGGGGAAUUUUGGACAAUGGGCGAAAGCCUGAUCCAGCAAUGCCGCGUGUGUGAAGAAGGCCUUCGGGUUGUAAAGCACUUUUGUCCGGAAAGAAAUGGCUCUGGUUAAUACCUGGGGUCGAUGACGGUACCGGAAGAAUAAGGACCGGCUAACUACGUGCCAGCAGCCGCCGUAA
rnacentral:rRNA from 1 species